UCUUGUGAUUUUUGAGGUGUUCUAGGAUGUGAGUUUAAAGUUUCUUCAUAUGGGCAGUGCUGCUUUCUUGUUUAUGUCAAUCUGAUGUAUGUUAUUAGUUCAAGAUUUAUGGAUUUGGAAGUUUGAUUUAUAGUGGGAAGUGGAAAUCUGAUACAAUUUCCAGAGGUCUCUAAUUGCUUCACUUACAUGUUAAUCGUGUCUCUCUUUCAAUGAGUCAGAAAGUUGUCGUUUAUUUUUCAUCCUGAAACCCCCUACAAUUAUGAUUCACACGGUUUCAUUUGCAGUCAUCCAGUAGAAUGAGAGGAAGAAAUUUUGGAGUUUGUCAUGGAUGUAGAAGCACCACUCACUAUUUCGAACAAUGCCAAUCAAAACAACGAUGCCCUAGUUGUGACCACGGAUAUCGGAAAUGUUUUGAGGUCGAACGGGAUACCGGUAACAAAGGGCGUUUGUUCUUCACCUGUAGUGAUGACUGUAGAUACUUUGAUUGGGUGAAAGAUGAAACUUUAGGCGAAGAAUUGAGUUCUGUUAAUCGUCCGGUAAAUCAUGCGCCCGACAAGGAAGACGAACAUUUGCCAAGACUUUUUGAUGGACUAGCUAAAAUUAGCGAGAAACGAGGCGUUGACAUAUCACUUACCAUGACUUUCAGCAAGGGAAAAGAAAUUGUCAAAUGUCACGAGCAAGGAAAGGGGUCUGGUUGAAGGGUUUAUUUAUGUAUGUAGUUCAUGAAUUGAUAUCCUUGUUCUCGGGUACAAAUGUGGUAGUUCCACUUUGACAUUGUUUCCCAGCGUAUGUAAUUAGGUGCCUAUGUACUAUGAGCAGUACUCUAAAGAAUUCCAAGUAAUUUUAUUGGUUCAUAACUUGCCAAUACCAUUUGUAACUCCAG
rnacentral:lncRNA from 1 species